UGUGGUGGCAGAGGCUGGCAGAGCCUUGGUGCCCACUGUGGCAGUCAGGGUGUGUGGUGGCAGAGGCUGGCAGAGCCUUGGUGCCCACUGUGGCAGUCAGGGUGUGUGGUGGCAGAGCCUUGGUGCCCACUGUGGCAGUCAGGAUGUGUGGUGGCAGAGCCUUGGUGCCCACUGUGGCAGUCAGGGUGUGUGGUGGCAGAGGCUGGCAGAGCCUUGGUGCCCACUGUGGCAGUCAGGGUGUGUGGUGGCAGAGCCUUGGUGCCCACUGAGGCAGUCAGGGUGUCUCACCAAGGGCUGUUGUCUUGGUGCCCCUGGCUCAGCUGCAGGAGAGCUGUGCCAGGCUGAGGGCACUUCGUGCCAAGCUUUAUUCCUGCUGCCCAGGGCAGGUUGUGCACAGCUGCUGGCAGGAGCUGUUCCCUGCUCUGAGUGCCCUUCCCUUCUCCUUGCCCCCACCACAGACUGUUGCAUCUCCACAGGCAGAGCUCAGCUCUGGGCUGGGUCCUGCUGCUGCUCUCUGCCUGCCCCUGGCAGCCUCUGGGGCUUGGCUUUGCUCUCAGGCUGCAGCAGAGCCAGGUGCAGGCAGCUCCUGCCCUGCAGCCCCUGUGCCUCCUGCAGCAGAGAGCCAGGGAAAGCCUCCUCAGGCUGAGCUGCAGCUUCUGGGUCCCAGCUUGUUGCUUGUCCUGUCACUGGGCACCACCACCACCACAAAGAGCCUGGCACCUACUUCUUCUUGCCCCCCCCCACCCCCCUCCCAGCCCUCAGGUAUUUAUAGGCAUUGCUCAGAUCCCCUCUCAGCCUUCCCUUCUGCAGGCUCUCAGCUUUCCCUCACAGCAGAGAGCCUCCAGCCCCCUUCAGCAUCCCCUGAGCUUCCUCCAGCAGGCCUCUGUCUCUCCUGAACUGGGGAGCCCCAAACUUGGGUGCAGUAUUCCAGAGGUGGUCUCACCAGGGCAGAGCAGAGGGAGAGGAGGAGAAGCUCUUUAGACCUCACAGAGCAGGACUGGGCCUGAUCUGUGCACUGCAGCUUUGCUGGACCUGCCUGCUGGGGCUGCCACUACCAGACCCCCCCCACCCCUCACCCCCUCCACCAGCUGCUGGAUUGAUGCUCACCUGCCCAGCCCUGGCAUUCCUGGGCAGGCUGUGAGUGGGCAGGCAGGGAAGCUGCAGGCUGAACUGGUCCAAUGCUUCCUGCAGCCCCUGCAGCAGGUAUCUCAGUGUCUUCAGAGGCACCUCCAGGGUCCAGUGUUGCCACCACAACUGCUCGAUGCCAGUGCUCUGGUGGCAUCCCUGCUGUCCCCAAACCUCCUGCUUGCAAAGUUCAACCAAGCUGGCAGGGUCCAGAACUCCCUCCCUGCUUCUCUCCUCUGGGUCUGUGAUGUUGUUGCUGUUCACUGCUCCCAAAGCUGUGUACAGAGUGUGGUUGGAUGCUCCUUUGCUGCUUGUAAAACAUGACUCAAUUACAACCUACCUGAGAGCUUCUCUUGA